AUCCCUGUAGCGCAAUGGAUAGCGCAUUGGACUUCUAAUCCAAAGGUCAUGCGUUUCGAAACCCACCCGGGAUG